rnacentral:lncRNA from 1 species
UUGAGACCGAGUGAACCGACGAAGAGAUUGUGGUAGACGAACUCAUGAGGUGAUAAAGAUAUAAGAUUUCCAAACAUCAAGUUCUGCAUAAAUUCAAUCUCCUCGGUUCAUGGUGAGAGAUUUGAUUCAAUCAAUUUUUGGUUUGUGUUAGGAUCAAAUCUUCUCUCCUACCAGUUCUAGAUGAACUCAUCGAGGAGGUAAUUUUAUUGGAUCCAUGAAUGUGAAUAUAGAAAAGAGAAGAAAUUUAUUUGUAAAAAAAGGGUGUGAUAAUGGAUUAGAUAAGAUGAAAAAGAAAAAAAUAUUAUUAUUUGGUAAAAAAAUUUAGUGAGAUACGAAAAGGAGAAGGAAGAAGUAUGGGCAGGGGCUGGCAGGGCAGGGACAGAGACAUGGGGAAGGGCAAGGGCAGGGACAAAAUUGAGGUUUAAAAAUAUCAAUAGUGUUUAGGAUAUUUAUCUAAUUAUGGAUCUUUCUAGGUACAUGGGGCCUAAUUUCUCAUUUUUAUAAUUGGAGGUUAUGUGGUGUAAAAUCCGUAUAAAAUUGACAUACAACUAUGAUAAAAUUCAAAAAACAAUCUUUUUAGAUAAUUAUUACAACACCCGUACACAUAAAAAUCAGAGCCCUAACUAUUAGAAGGCACAACAGAUAAAUUUUAAGUUGUAGACCAAAAACCCUUAACCAUGAUAUUAGUUAGAGAACACCGUCAUCAAAACAGUAUAAACUAGUCAUAGAUACUAAAACAACAUCAAAAUUAGUAAUCACUAUACCCUAAAACCAUAACAUCCCUAAACCCAAAUAUCAUACGUUUAAACUCUGUUAAGUAGUUAACAACUAAACAUAAAUUAUAUAUAUCCCUUAACCAUUGUGUAAGAGUUCAUCACACCUACUACAAAACAGUAUACAUUAUUCAUACAUACUAAAUAUAAAAAGAUAAUUGUAAAAUCAGCAUCAAAAUUAUUAAUCACUAUACCC